UUCUCAACGGAGAGUUUGAUCCUGGCUCAGGACGAACGCUGGCGGCGUGCUUAACACAUGCAAGUCGUACGAGGGCCCAGAGCUUGCUCUGGAGACCCGAGUG
rnacentral:rRNA from 1 species